GCACACCUGUUCUCAGUGAAGUUCAAUGCUCAGCAUCUAUUCACACUCUUACAUCUGAGCAAUAAUUACACUGAAACCGAGUAACGCUGAUCAUGAAAAUGUUUUCACAUCAUGUCAACGUGAGCUCGUGUUGAUAUGGAGGCGCCGGCUGUCAGUCACUGUAACAAGGACACUUGCUGAUUUCUGAGAGAUGAUAGAUGUGCUGUACGAACCAGCGCUCGCAGUCUGUGAAGGUAAACAUCCAUAACCUUGCAAUACUUCACCAUGGUAACCACCGUUUCCUGCAAAACAGCAGUUACUGCAGAGCACUCAGAGAAGAUCUCCAGAUGCAGCUGAAGACAGGACCUGUCACGAGAUCUGAGAGAUGAAGGGAUGAGCAAACAGAUGCACAUCAGCAGUGAGUCACUGGCUGACUUUACAUGUGAGCAUCAUCUCCUCCACUGCACAGUCUCCAUAAUGAUGCUUUAUCGAUCCCAGUGCUGCUGUUUGUCUUGUUUUUUAA